CAAUAACUAGUUGUAAACUCUGCUGUGCUAGCAAAGUGCAUAAUGAAGAAUAAGGAGACAGAAAAAAGUAUGUAGCAAACAAACAAGACGGCAAACAAAAACCUUUAAGCAAUCAUGUAAAGCACGUCGAACAUCUGAGCACUGUGUGAGAACAAAGCGGAGCCCUGUCAGCCCAUCGAUCUGCUCCUGAAGGCACUCGUACGCACACACAUAUCUACAUGCACAAGGCUCCUACUGCACCCCGUCUCUCAGAGAAUGCCUGUAUUGAUCUGGCCCACUUCUGUAGAGUUAACUCACUGAUAAAACCUGACCACAGGGCUUCCAUGGGCCCAAGAGCGUUCGGAAUUCUGUUGAAAAAAACAACGGGAGAGAAAAAAAGAUGAAACACAAAGCAAGUGGAAAAAAAAUCGCUGCUUGUACGUCCCCUCAGUCUGGAGAGACGAAGCUCUUUGACAGUUUUGUCUUUUUGGCUGGCAUUAUUUAUAUAUUUCUUCAGCAUUGUGUGCUUACAAUGCUGUCGACUUUACCACGUGGACUGACAAGCGUUCAGAGAUGUUGCGCAUAUUGUCAUCUCCUCGAGUGCACCCACUGGAAUUUCUCUUAGAAAUUCACAGGGAUGUGAGGAAAAGCAGAUUUUUUUUCAAUACCGUAUUAAUGCGAAGGGUUGGUCAGUGCGUCUGUGUGCGUCUGCAUCUCACAACGUGUUGCUUGUGUUAACGCUUGCUUGUGUGUGUGCUCGAGUGCAUCCAACAGUAUAUGCCAGUGUGGAUGUGUGUUUGUGUACGCAUGUGAACGUGUAUACGUGUUGCCAUGUUAGAAUGUGCAGCGUUGUCAUGUUUGUUACAUUCCAUGUGGGAGGGUCUGCUGAGAGGCAGGCCAUCUGUAGUGUUCUGAAGAUCGACAUGUUGUAAAAUGCGAUUGGAGAGUGUGGAGACUCAACUUGUCAAAUCUUGGCACAUAAUGAGGCAGAAGGGAGUGAAGGCAGGAAAAAGAUUCAGAGAUAAACAAUUAGAUUAAUCCCAGCGGUAAAGGGCACAGACAAUGGGAGGACUCAAAGAAAAAACAAAAUCAAUAUGGCAACUGCUGAGGACACAAUGGAGUACAGUGAGGAAGGGACUAACACUUAUUUCUCAGAUGAAAAGACAUACAGACACAUGGCGGAGGAGUCACGACUUGUUCGAAUCAAUACCGGUGUCAGCACCGGAUGCACUACCACCUAUUCCUCACACGUUUUUCAUCAGAGAAGCCGCCAGACGUUACAGAAUAUACGGUAACAUUGCAUACCACAAAAGCACAUCCCAAAAAGCCCAAACAAAGACAUGGGGAUAAUGAAGUAAAUUAGGGGCCGCAAUCGCCUCCAGCUACAGCCAACUGAUGAUCUUUUAGGAGGAGAGACAUUGGGGACCGUAAUGCUUUCACACCCCCUGAGUCCAAACAUAAUGGAGCAUGAUCUGCAGCCACAGUCUGGGCCGUCCCAGCGCGCCGCCGCCCCUCUCAGGCCCUGCCCAGACUCGCAGGUCUGAACCGACAUCUCAGGCGCCAUAUCCCGGCAAAUCUCACAGGGCUGCCCGUGCCAGGGCGCCGGGGCCCGACUGAAGCCGGGAUGUCCUAUGUGCUAGAGGGAAAGGGGGGUGGAUAGGCUGAGUGAGUGAGUGGCGCUGGCCCCGGUUUACCCCACAGGGACGCAGAAAGGCGUUGACCAGAAAGGUGUGAGUCGGCAACGCAGCACCCCGCCCAUUGUCAUGUCUCCAAGGAGGCUGGUACACCGUCGAGUCAUCGGCAGGGUUCCAGCGAAAAUACAUGAGGAAGCCAGGAGUGCCGGGGACCUGUAUGGACUAUCGGCCCAGUCCCAGGGAGAGAAGGGCCACAGCUCCACUGACCUCCAGCAACCUGUCAGUCUGUCAUCCCCGCCUGGGGAAUUAAGAGGGGAGGGAAGAGAUGGGGCCAAAGAGAAAGAAGAGAUAUAAAGGGUGUGGUGUUGCCUCUUUAUGUUGAGAGCAGCAAACGUGAUGACUCCCAGACGGGGAGACAUGGCAAACCCUAAUAAUACCAACCCAUACAAUGGCUCUGACAGCCCGGCUAUAAAGCAAUCAGGGUCCCAGGCAUUCCAAAUCUCUUUAACGCCCACCCUACAGCAGUCUGGAAGAUGGGUGGCUGACCUGAGAGCUGUCAAUCACGCUGCUGUACCUGCUGGAGCUUGGGCAGAGUAGAGCCGGGAGCAUGCGGUCCAUCAGAUCUGUUUUCACACUCCCCACACUAUCACUGCAAGCGUAACCAAAAAGACAAAAAACGCCCCACUGCCCUACUCUUAAUUAGGGAGUGUGGAUAAGACUGAGGCGAGAGCUCUCCCAGUGGUGCGCUACAAGCUUGGAAGGAGGCAAAGAGACAUCUAUGCAGAGAAAAGGAGAAAUGUUAAGGGUCUUCUCAUCUGAAACUCAACUGGCUGAAAAGCUUCUCGGCUACUUUUCUUUUUUCACCCAUCUACCUUUCGACCAAAGCAGUGAGUCCUUCUUCUUGUACUCUUUCACCUGCUGCCAUCAGUAGUAAUGUCCGAGAGCUGCGCAACCUCAAGAGCUUCGAUCAAAGAGCUCUUCGCUCUUAAUGGGCCGCAUCUCACAUCUGCCUACAGAUUGGGCUAUUUAGUCUUCUUUAAUUCCCCACUGUUUAGGUUGAAAACAUAUGUAUUUGCAAGGAAUACCAGACUGUUUUAUAAAGUACAAUUUCCAGUACACCACAGAAAGUAAAAAUAGUUUUACAUUCAGUCAAUGUAUUGCAAUGUAAAAUCUGUGGUUUACAAGCAAUACCUGUAUAAUGAUCUAUUGUGCAUUUUAGUUAUGCUGAUAUAAUUGCCAUAUUAACAUGAAUUAACAUUUACUCGACCUUUUUCCAGUAACCUCCAAU
ensembl:lncRNA